UACCAGCACCCCGAGUGGUCGGGACGUUUAUUGGGGCUAAAGCAUCCGUAGCCGGUUCUACAAGUCUUCCGUUAAAUCCAACUGCUUAACAGGUGGGCUGCGGAAGAUACUAUAGAGCUAGGAGGCGGGAGAGGCAAGCGGUACUCGAUGGGUAGGGGUAAAAUCCGUUGAUCCAUUGAAGACCACCAGUGGCGAAGGCGGCUUGCCAGAACGCGCUCGACGGUGAGGGAUGAAAGCUGGGGGAGCAAACCGG
rnacentral:rRNA from 1 species